AAGUCAGAUGUGGUCAGUACCAUUGGGAGUGGGUUUUCAUCAGCAGGGACUCUGCGGCAACUCACCUGCUUUCUGCUCCAAGAGUCCAGCACCCUGAGAUCCUGAUGUCAGGGUAAGCUGGGGGACUGCUCAUAGCCAAAGAUGCAGAAACCAGAAUGAAAGGUCUACAGCAGAGACGGAAGAGAGGAAGUCUCGUCACUUGGACCACCAAAGAACUAAGGUCUCAAGGUCCCUCUACUAUGGUUAAAUCUAUAGUCAAGCAACCCAUCCCAGUGCUUCUGUGGAAUUCCUGCAAGAGGCAGGAGGCGGUUCAGAGAGUCAUCAAAGCCAUUUUCACAAGGCAUCAAGGAGUCUUGGCUCUUGUGUUUGGAAGGCGGGUCAGCUGAGGUCCGGAACCAAUUCUAGGGUGAGAAAACUUGCAGUGAAGACUGAGAACUUUGGUCCAAA
rnacentral:lncRNA from 1 species